CAGUAAAUAAUUUAACUAACUCAUAUAAUCUAGAGGAUUAGGCUUUAGAAGUUUCUACCAUGUCGCCUUAACGACAUGACUAUGAGUCACUUAAACAAUACA
rnacentral:ncRNA from 2 species